rnacentral:rRNA from 1 species
CGGGAAUUUUGGGCAAUGGGCGAAAGCCUGACCCAGCAACGCCGCGUGAAGGAUGAAAUCCUUCGGGAUGUAAACUUCGCAAGAACGGGAAGAAUAAGUAAGAGUUAAUAUCCCUUACGAUGACGGUACUGUUUGUAAGCUCCGGCUAACUCCGUGCCAGCAGCCGCGGUAAUACGGGGGGAGCAAGCGUUGUUCGGAUUUACUGGGCGUAAAGGGCGCGUAGGCGGCCACCGCAAGUCGACUGUGAAAUCUCCGGGCUUAACCCGGAAAGGUCAGCCGAUACUGCGGGGCUAGAGUGCAGAAGGGGCAACUGGAAUUCCUGGUGUAGCGGUGAAAUGCGCAGAUAUCAGGAGGAACACCGGUGGCGAAGGCGGGUCUCUGGGCCGAUACUGACGCUGAGGAGCGAAAGCGUGGGGAGCGAAC